rnacentral:lncRNA from 1 species
AUUUGAAUGAUGCGUCGCUGGUAUGAUGGCCGUGCGAUCCGUCGAGUUAUCAUGAAUCAUCGCAGAAACGGGUAGAGCCCGCGUCGACCUUUUAUCUAAUAGAUGCAUCCCUUCCAGAAGUUGGGGUUUGUUGCACGUAUUAGCUCUAUAAUUACUACGGUUAUCCGGGUAGUAGAUACCAUCAAACAGACUAUAACUGAUUUAAUGAGCCAUUCGCAGUUUCACAGUCUGAAUUUGUUCAUACUUACAGAUGCAUGGCUUAAUCUUUGAGACAAGCAUAUGACUACUGGCAGGAUCAACCAGGUAGCAUUCCUCAUUGACGCCGGCGUCGCAUGAGCGUAGCACAUAUGACUACUUGCAGGAUCAACCAGGUAGCAUUCCUCAUUGUUGCCGGCGUCGCAUGAGCGUGGCCGACCCAAAAGGGCACAGCCAAGUCCAAGGCGAGCACGACCGUCAUUCGUAAGGAGAAUUCUUUGGGCAGAUAGAAGCCAAUGAAGGUCCCGUGCCCAUUGUGUUUACCGAAUCCGAGAGCCCGAGCAUGCUAAAUCGUGGACCAAGCCAUCGCAAGGAGAAGCUAGGACGACCUGGGACACAACAGAUAGGAGCCAAUGAAGGCCCCAUUCCCAUUGCAUUUACUGAAUCCUAGGGCCCAAGCAUGGUAAGCGUGGACCAAGCCAUUGCAAGGCGAAGCCAGGACGACCUGGGACACAACUGCAGCUUUUGGUUCACCCGACACGUCGAACGCGAGGGGCGAAAGGCGACCAGUUGUGCUUGAUAAUGCCUUGGCAUUAGGUAUGCAACACAAAAAACUGACGUCGAACAAACCUAAUUUUCGCUUGUGACAUGACUGAGAUUGCAUGCGAGCUAGGACGUCGCUACUCGAGCAGGGAUCCAACCUCCCCACACAAGCCGAUGCCAACAUUGCAAAGACAAGACAAGCCCCGCAAAGCACGAAUAUGGGUUUUGAACAAUGCCAGACACAACCCACAACAACCGAUGGCAAUAGGCAAUUUAAUGAGCUUUGCCCCAUGUGCAUGGCACCUUGCGGCGCUAGUUGCACGAUGCUUAGACAUUUUGUUGCCAAAAGCCAUCACCUGCCACAAGCGAUGUUGCCUUCCGUUGUUUCCCACAACAACAGAUGGCAAUCAGCAACUUACUAAGCUUCACCACGUGAGCAUGGCACCUUGCGGCGCUACUUGCACGAUGCUUUGCCAUUUUGUUGCCAAAAGCCAUCAGCCGCCACUAGCGAUGUCGCCUCCCGAUGUUGCCCGCAACAACCGAUGGCAAUCAGCAAUUUACUAAGUUUCGCCCCAUGUGCACGACACGUUGCGGCGCUACUUGCAUGAUGCUUUGCCAUUUUGUUGCCAGAAGCCAUCAGCUGCCACGAGCGAUGUCGCCUCCCGAUGUUGCCCGCAAUAGCCGAUGGCAAUCAGCAACCUACUAAGCAUCGCCCCGUGCGCACGGCACCUUGCGGUGCUACUUGCACGAUGCUUUGACAUUUUGUUUCCAAAACCCAUCACCCGCCACGAGCGAUGUCGCCUCCCAAUGUUUCCCGCAAACACCGAUGGCAAUGAACACCUACUGAGCUUCGCCCCGUGCGCACGACACCUUGUGGUGCUACUUGCACGAUGCUCUGCCGUUCGUUGUCAAAACCCAUAAGCCACCAUAGAGGGGUGUUUACUGACACAACCCACAAAAAUCAAUGGCAAUAGGCAACUUACUAAGCUUCGCCCCAUGUGCACGCACCUUGUGGCGCUACUUGCACGACGCCCUGCCUUUCCAUUGCCGAAAGACGUCAACCGCCAUGAGCGAUGUUGCUCGCAACAACCGAUGGCAAUCGACAUCUACUCCUCCGGUCCAUUGCCGAAAGCCAUCAACCGCCAUGAGCGAUGUUGCCCGCAACAAUCGAUGGCAAUCAACAUCUACUGAGCUUCGCCCCAAGCGCACGGCACCUUGCAGCGCUACUUGCACGAUGCUCCGACGUUCGUUUUCGAUAGCCAUCAACCGCCACGAGAUAUUCCAGACACUACCUACAACCACCGAACUUAAUAAGCUUCUCCCUAUGCGCAGGACACCUUGCGGCGCUACUUGUACUACGUUUUUUCAUUCUUUUGUCAAAUGCCAUAAGCCGCCACGAGCGAUGUCGCCUCCCAAUAUUGCCCACAACAUCUAAUGGCAAUCAACAAGUACUGAGCUUCGUCCAUUGCGCACGGCAUCGUGCGGCGCUACUUGCAUGACGCUCCACUGUUCAUUUCCAAAAGCCAAUGUUUGCCACGAGCGGUGCCGCCACCAGGCGUACUUCAAGACCACACGAGUACUUGACGGUUUGGGAACAUCGAGGACGUAGCACGGACAAGCCGUGUAUGCCCCCAAUGCCCACGCCCCAUGCCAGCGUCCCCCAUGCAUGCCCGCCCCUUCCUGACAGCAAGAACCUGAGGUGCCUCUCAACACCUCAACCCCCCUUAUAUAUACUAUAAAAAAAUUAAGUUUCAGGAGUAGACAUGUUUUGGCCAGAGAAUCAUAAUAGACAUAUACAACACCAAAUAGCACAAACCAAAGUAAAACUUGGCUAAAAUAUUAACAAAUGACUUUUAAGCAUUGUAAAUGAUAUUAUUUACAAAAAAUUAAUAUUUUUUUGAAAUAAUUUUAUUUAAUAACGAAAAUACUUAAUAAAUACUAAAAAAUAUGAAAUUUUUUAUAAAAAUAGAAAAAAUGAUGGAGAAAUAAAACAACUUGACAUAGACGUGGUGCGGCUUGGAGCGACUUGGUGCUCCUUGGAGCGAAGUCGUGCCCUUCCCUUGGAGCGACUUGUCAAAAAUUCCUGACACGUCCUGACACGUACCAUGGCCAUAUCCUGCCAUGUCCUGCAACGUCUUGACUCAAGCCAUGGCCACGCGCUGCCAUGUCCUAACGCGUCCUGACACGUGCCAUGUCCAUGUCCUGACGCGUCCUGCGACGUCCUGACUCGUGCCAUUGCCACGCCCUGCCAUGUCCUGCGACGUCCCGACUGCCAUGGCCAUGUCCUGAUGCGUCCUGACACGUACCAUGGCCAUGUCCUGACACGUCCUGCGACGUCCUGACUCUCGCCAUGGCCACGCCAUGCCAUGUCCUCUGAUGUCCCGACUCGUGCCAUGACCACGCCCUGCCAUGUCCUGCGACGUCCCGUCUCAUGCCAUGGCCAUGACCUGCUGCGUCCUGACACGUACCACGGCCAUGUCAUGACGCGUCCUGCGACGUCCUGACUCGUGCCAUGGCCAUGUCUUGAUACGUCCUGCGACAACCUCACUCGUGCCAUGGCCAUGUCCUGACGCGUCAGGAUGACGUCCCGACUCCUGCCAUGGCCACGCCCAGCCAUGUCCUACGACGUCCCGACUCGUGCCAUGGCCAUGCCCUGCCAUGUCUUGCGACGUCCCGACUCGUNNNNNNNNNNNNNNNNNNNNNNNNNNNNNNNNNNNNNNNNNNNNNNNNNNNNNNNNNNNNNNNNNNNNNNNNNNNNNNNNNNNNNNNNNNNNNNNNNNNNNNNNNNNNNNNNNNNNNNNNNNNNNNNNNNNNNNNNNNNNNNNNNNCAUGUCUUGCGACGUCCCGACUCGUGCCACGGCCACGCCCCGCCCUAUCCUGCGACGUCCCGACUCGUGCCAUGACCAUGUCCUGCUGCGUCUUGAUGCUUCCUAACACGUACCAUGGCAAUGUCCUGACACGUCCUGCGACGUCCUGACUCGUGCCAUGGACACGCCCUGCCAUGUCCUGCGAUGUCCUGACUCGUGCCAUGGCCACGCCCUUCCAUGUCCUGCGAUGUCCUGACUCGUGCCAUGGCCACGCCCUACCAUGUCCGGACGUGUCCUGACACGUGCCAUGGCCAUGUCCUAACGCGUCUUCACACGUGCCAUGGCCAUGUCCUGACGUGUCCUGACACAUCCUGACUCGUGCCAUGGCCAUGCCCUUCCAUGUCCUGACACAUCCCCACCCGCGUCCUGCCAUGUCCUGUGACGUACUGACACGUCCUGGCCAGUGCCAUGGCCACGCGCUGCCAUGUCCUGGGACGUCUUAACUCAUGCCAUUGCUACGCCUCAAAAACCUUGGCCUCUCAAGCCACACCUAAUAAAACCUUGGCAUAGGCCUCGACCUCUUAAGCGAUACGUCGAAAAAACUUGGUCUAGGCCUCGACCUCCACCGACACCCCGAAAAGCCUCUAGUAGUGAAAUGUGGUUUGGUAUUUCCCUCGACGUGACUAAGUGUCAAGUCACAUUGUCCACUUCAUGCACAAAUAGUAUACGUUCCAAGGUAUUGAGGACUUGUUCGAUGUUUCCAACACUUAGUAUAAUAUAGCAUCAAGGUAGGAGUGAACCUCUUAUCGGAAAAGUUAGAAAAUGAUUGGAUUGGAGGGGGAGGGACGAAUCGGAGCGACAAAGGGUUGAAUCUCAGUGGAUUGUGGCAGCAAGGCCAGUCUUCCACAUACAAUACACCGUCGCGUAUUUAUGUCAUUUGCAAAGGAUUCUACCCGCCGCUCGAUGGAAAUUGUACUUCAAGGCGGCCACCGCAGCUCUUCUGCCACGGUGACUUAGCCAACGACACGUUCCCUUGGGGGCCAAAGGCCCCUACUGCGGGUCGGCAAGCGGACGGCGAGCGCAUGCCUCGCUUCUAGCCCGGAUUCUAACUUAGAGGUGUUCAGUCAUAAUCCAGCGCACGGUAGCUUCGCGCCGCUGGCUUUUCAACCAAGCACGAUGACCAAUUGUGCGAAUCAACGGUUCCUCUCGUACUAGGUUGAAUUACUAUUGCGACACUGUCAUCAGUAGGGUAAAACUAACCUAUCUUACGAUUUUCAACCCAUCGCGAUGACCAAUUGUGUGAAUCAACGAUUCCUCUCGUACUAGGUUGAAUUACUAUUGCGACACUGUCAUCAGUAGGGUAAAGCUAUAUUGUCUUACGACGGUCUAAACCCAGCUCGCGUUCCCUAUUGGUGGGUGAAGAAUCCAACACUUGGUGAAUUUCUGCUUCACAAUGAUAGGAAGAGCCGACAUCGAAGGAUAAAAAAGCAACGUCGCUAUGAAUGUUUGGCUGCCACAAGCCAGUUAUCCCUGUAGAAACUUUUGUGACACCUCUAGCUUCGAAUUUUGAAGGUCUAAAAUAUCGUUAGUCCACGCUUUCACGGUUCGUAUUGGUACUGGAAAUCAGAAUCAAACGAUCUUUUGCCCUUCUGUUCCACCCGAGAUUUCUGUUAUCGUUGAGCUCAUCGAAGGACACCUGCGUUAUCUUUUAACAGAUGUGCCGCCCUAGCCAAACUCCACACCUGACAAUGUCUUCCACCCGUAUCGGCGUGCAAGCAAGCCUUGGGUCCAAAAAGAGGGGCAGUGCCCCGCUUCCGAUUCACGGAAUAAGUAAAAUAACGUUAAAAGUAGUGGUAUUUCACUUNNNNNNNNNNNNNNNNNNNNNNNNNNNNNNNNNNNNNNNNNNNNNNNNNNNNNNNNNNNNNNNNNNNNNNNNNNNNNNNNNNNNNNNNNNNNNNNNNNNNNNNNNNNNNNNNNNUAAACUACACCUCUCAAGUAAUUUCACAAAGUCGGACUAGAGUCAAGCUCAACAAGUUCUUCUUUCCCCGCUGAUUCUGCCAAGCCCAUUCCCUUGGUUGUGGUUUCGCUGGAUAGUAGACAGGGACAGUGGGAAUCUCGUAAAUCAAUUCAUGCGCGUCAUUAAUUAGAUUACGAGGAAUUUGGCCACCUUAAGAGAGUCAUAGUUACUCCCGCCAUUUACCCGCGCUUGGUUGAAUUUCUGCACUUUGACAUUCAGAGCACUGGCAGAAAUCACAUUGCGUAAACAUCUGCAGGGACCAUCCCAAUGCUUUGUUUUAAUUAAACAGUCGGAUUCCCCUUGUCGGUGCCAUUUCUGAGUUGGCUGUUCGACGCUCGGGGAAGGCCCCUGAAGGAACCGUUCCCUGUCUGUCCCCCGGCCGGCACGCUGCGACUCGUUCUCGCUUCGGGAGCAGCUCGAGCAGUCCACUGAAAGCCAACGGGUUCGGGACUUGGACCCCCGUGCCUAGCCCUCAGAGCCAAUCCUUUUCCCGGAGUUACGGAUCCAUUUUGCCGACUUCCCUUGCCUACAUUGUUCCAUCGACCAGAGGUUGUUCUCCUUGGAGACCUGAUGCGGUUAUGAGUACGACCGGGCGUGGACGGCACUCGAUCCUCCGGAUUUUCAAGGGCCGUCGUGGGGGCACUGGACGCCCCGCGACGUGCGGUGCUAUUCCAGCCGCUGCACCGCACCACGUCUAUUGCUAACCAACGUGGGCGUUUUUGACCUAAUCCAAAUCCACACCCGCACGGCAGUCAAGUCCCGUGCUUGACUCAGCCUUCCGACAGUUGCAAGUUUUAGCAAGUUUGACCUUAGACAAAAAUUAGGCAACAACACAGAAUUUUAAUGGAACACAAACAUAUACAGGACAAAUUCCCAACCUUUGCAUUAAUAUAUAAAAUAUACAAAGGACCCUCAAUUGCUAUGAACUAUCCAUCCGCUCACAACCCACUUUUGACGAAGAGCACCUGGUUGUUCUUGGCCAACACUAAGAUCUGCCCAUGCACAACCUUAGCCCCAUUUUGGAAACACUAGAAAACACUCAUGUUUCUCUCUUGUUUCCCGCGAGUAAUUCCCUUGAACUUACUCUAUUUUCCCACAAGUAAUUCCCUUGAACUUACUUCGUUGCUUUGCCUAAGAUAAGGGUCCUAUUUAUAGGCCCUUAAACUUAACCGCCUAUGACACUUGUUGUCUAACAGCUUUUUCCACUUGUCGGACUAAGCUUAAAUCAUGCUCCAAACUUGUGGUUGACAUCCCCAACUACUUAGGACCAUUAUACACGAAAUGGGGCCACAAUAAAAACAAUAAUAAGUUCAUGGGAGAUCAUGAGAGAUCAUGGCCUACAAACAAGGUAACCGCUGCCAACCGCUUUCCAUGUGCUUUGCAUGUGCUAUUUCCUUGGCCAGCUUAAUUUCGCCCCCAAGGCUGCCCGUGCCAUUCCUUAGGUCAAUUAGACAGUGCCCAUGCCAAUGUCUUUCCUGCAAUCCGCUGCUAUGAUAUUUCCCCACACGCCUGGCGCCCAUGCACCCGCACACUGCCUUGGCCUAGUUUUCUGCCUUGUCCGUUCCAACCUCAUUUCCCUCAUGCCAUUGCUUGUAAUCUCUUUUCCAUAGCCUACUCUUAGCUAUUGAAAGCCUUUGUCGUCAACCCGCAUUUCCUCCUCGACUAAGCUUAGCCCGCGCAUAGCUGUCACAACUCAAGAGUGUCAUGCCACUGAGUUUGGCGCGCAUGUGGUGCCAUGCCGCCCAACCAUUGCCGAUGCUGCCUCUUCAAGCCUUUUCCAAGCGAACCUUGCCCAUGCCAACGCCUUGGCCAAAUCUUGUCCACCACAGCCCGUCGACCCACAUGAUCGUUUUGCUCGCACAUAGGCCAAUGACAAGGCCAUCACGCCCAAAUCCUUGCCACAGUUGUGCCACGUCCGAUGACAAAAGUUACGGUCCUGACAAAACACCCCCUAUCUUAUAAAUUAACGUCCUCGUCGAGCUAUCUCAAUUUAACAACCCCAAGGGGUUGUUGACAAACACCGCCGGGUGCUCCCCUCGCAUCUGCCACUAUGGCAUUUGCCUCCGCCACUUGUUCCUGUCCCAUCGCAGCUAGCAAUGCAUUUACCUUAGCCUGCAUCCGACAGUCCCUCUUCAAGUGCGGUCCACCAAAAGUGAAACAACCUUUGAAAAUGCUGUUGCAUUCCUUGCCAUUGCGAUUUUCCGGUCUCACAAUCUUGACAAGUUCCUCUUUUUCAGACGCUUGGCCCUUUCCGUUUCUAUUCCAUUCCCUUGCUUUGUCCUUCCUUGCGUCGGACUUUGAAUGCGAAGUUUCAAUUGGUUCAUCACCUAUUCAGGUCCGCCAACGCAUCUGCCUCUACAAUGGCAGUAGAGAGGCUUUGCACAUUUUGCCUUCUCAACUCCAAUUGCGCCCAUCCCUUCAACCCGCUCAUGAAGUAAUGCAGCUUGUCUUCUUCUGCCAUUUUACUUAGAUUGAGCAUCAAGGACGAAAAUUCCUUGACAUAUUCCCUCACCGUGCCACUCUGUUUCAAGUGACGCAGUCCAUCUCGUGCCAUCCACGACGACUUUGUUGGAAGGAAUUGGGAUUUUAAUUCCUUCUUCAUCAACUACCAAGUUCCGACCCUGGGCAGUCCAGCACCUUCAAUAUAUGCACUUCGUGGACGCCACCACACCUUUGCAUCGUCUGUAAAGUACAUUGGUGUGAUAACCACCUUUUCAUCAUCCGGCACACGUGCAGCCUGGAAAUACUGCUCCAUAUCCCAUUGGAAAUUUUACAGUUCCUUGGCACUUCUUGCACCACCAUCAGCCUUUGGCUCCAGAAUCCUCAGCUUAGUGCGCUCAUCAUUUUUAGGGGCAGAAUUUUGUAAUACCCUUCGAUGAUCAGCCACUUCCUCGCGUAAUUCAUCUUUCUCUUGGCGUACCAAGGCCAUUUCUGCCAGCGUUGUCUCAUGUCUCGCUGCAUAAUCUGCCUCCAGCCUCGCCAUUCUCGCAAGAACAGAAGAAUCACCGCCACUUUCAAGAGCUUGCCCGAUUUGUGCUUCCAACUGCUCAACUCUUUGACGCAGUUCCGCAUUCGUGCCACCCGCAUUGUUCUCAAAAAUCCUCCAAACGUGCCAUUCAAGCAAGAACAUAAGAAUCACCAUCACUUUCAAGAGCCUGCUUAACUAGUGCUUCCAACUGCUCAACUGUUUGACGCAGCUCCGCAUUUGUGCCACCAGCCAUGUUCUCAAAAAUUCCAACGUAAUCUGCCACUGAUCGUUUCGCCACUGCCACGAACCUGCUCAGCUCUGAUACCAAUUGUCACGGGGUCGAUUUUGGCCAACUCCAAAACCACACCCAUGCGGCAGUCAAGUCCCCCUGUUUAGGCAGUGCCACAAAUCUGCUCAGCUCUGAUACCAAUUGUCAUGGGGGCAUUUUUGACCUAGUCCAAAACCACACCCACGCGGCAGUCAAGUCCUGUGCUUGACUCAGCCUUCCGAAACACUUGCAAUUUCAGCAAGUUUAACCUUAGACGAAAUUUAGGCAACAAAACAGAAUUUUAAAGGAACACAAACAUAUAGGACAAAUUCCCAAACUUUGCAAUAAUAUAGAAAAUGUAUAAAGGACCCUCAAUUUCAAUGAACUAUCCGUCCGCUCACAUCCCACUUUUGACGAAGAAUUCCUUGUCAUUCUUGGCCAACACUAAGAUCUGCCCAUGCAAAACCUUAGCCCCCUUUUGGAAAUGCUAGAAAACCCUAACGUUUCUCUCUUUUUUCCCACGAGUAAUUCCCUUGAACUUAAUUUAUUUUCCCACAAGUAAUUCCCUUGAACUUACUUCGUUGCUUUGCCUAAGUAAAUGGUCCUAUUUAUAGGCCCUUAAACUUAACCGUCCAUGACACUUGUUGUCUAACAGCUUUUGCCACUUGUCGUACUAAACUUAAAUCAUGCUCCUAACUUGUAUUUGACAUCCCCAACAACUUAGGAUCAUAAUAGACGAAAUGGGGCCACUAUACAAACAAUAAUUAGUUCAUGGGAUAAUGGGAGAUCAUGGCCUACAAACAAGGUAACCGUCGCCAACCGCUUUCCAUGUGCUUUGCAUGUGCCAUUUCCUUGGCCAGCUUAAUAUCGCCUCCAAGGCUGCCCGUGCCAUUCCUUAGGUCAAUUAGACAUUUCCCAUGACAAUGUCUUGCCCGCAAUCCGCUGCCAUGAUAUUUCCGCACACGCCCGGCGCCUAUACACCCGCACACUGCCUUGGCCUAGUUUUCUGCCUUGUCCGGGCCAACCUCAUUUUCGUAAUGCCAUUGCUUGUAUUCUCUUUCCCAUAGCGUAGUCUUAGCAAUUGAAAUCCUUUGCCGUCAACCCGCAUUUCCACCUCGCCUUAGCUUAGCCCGCACAUAGCUGCAACAAACCAAGAGUGUCAUGCCACUGAGAUUGGCGCGCAUGCCGUGCCAUGCCCCCCAACCAUUGCAGAGGCUACCUCUUCAAGCCUUUUCCAAGCGCACCUUGCCCAUGCCAAGGCAUUGGCCAAUAAUUUUCCACCACUGCCCGUCGCCCCGCAUGAUCGUUUUGCUGGCACAUAGGCCAAUGACAAUGCCAUCACGCCCAAAUCCUUGCCACAGUCGUGCCACGUCCGAUGAAAAAAUUUAGGGUCCUGACAGUAGGCUAGUAUCCUACCAUCGAAAGUUGAUAGGGCAGAAAUUUGAAUGAUGCGUCACCGCCGCGAUGGCCGUGCGAUCCGUCGAGUUAUCAUGAAUCAUCGCAGCAACAGGCAGAGCCCGCGUCGACCUUUUAUCUAAUAAAUGCAUCCCUUCCAGAAGUCGGGGUUUGUUGCACGUAUUAGCUCUAGAAUUACUACGGUUAUCAUGAAUCAUCGCAGCAACAGGCAGAGCCCGCGUCGACCUUUUAUCUAAUAAAUGCAUCCCUUCCAGAAGUUCGGGUUUUUUCCACGUAUUAGCUCUAGAAUUACUACGGUUAUCGGAGUAGAAGAUACCAUCAAACAAACUAUAACUUAUUUAAUGAGCCAUUCACAGUUUCACAGUCUAAAUUUGUUCAUAUUUACACAUGCAUGGCUUAAUCUUUGAGACAAGCAUAUGACU